GAAGGCCUAGAAUGACUUCACAACCUGUUGUGCUGUCUGUCCACUGAGCUUAGUGUUACCCUGUCUUAGGACUCGAUAAGAACCAAAUGUUAGAAAACCAUAGGGGGUACACUUCUUUUCAUCUGUGCUGAUAAUACGCUUCUUUUAAACUAAAAAUAUACUUUCUGUCUACUUUUUAAUGUACUUAGAGAUAUAAUUAACAAAUUUAUACAUAAAGGGAGGUGUCACACCUCAUGGACCUGUUUUGUUGUAUUUUCUUUCUCCAUGUGUCCCUGCUCUUCUCCCACCUUUGUCUGAACUCUCUGUCUGCCCUGAAAUGUCUGCCCAUCCCAAACUGUCUGUAUACCCUGAAACGACAACAGAGGUCAUUCCCCUGUCACUGGCGCUCACCCUCCCUGAACCCUCUACCUGUCUGGAUUUCCUACACACUCUCACUCUCCUGUCAUCCCAGUUUCUUCAGCUCCACCACCUCUGCUUCCUGGCAGCCCCUCUGCUCACCAUCUGUGUGGUGGGAUGGCUGCGGGUCUGCCAGUCUCCAUCAGCGUCAUGCCUUGAGGAUCCCUUGUCUACGCCUCCAGCCUCCGAGUCCUGGACCACGCCUCUGCCCUUCGACCCAUCGGCUCCACCAUGGCUACUAGCUCCCUCCUCUCCACUGUGGCCCGUCAGUCCACCAACUCUGCUGGGCUCCCUUGUCCCUCUGGCUCUGCCUUGGUCUGUCGUCGACCAUCUGCCACCUCGGAACUCCACUCCUCAGGCUACACCUCGUCCCCCGUCCCUCUGGCUCUGUCAGGCUCCUCCUUCCCUUCAGCUCCACCUUGGUCCUCUGUCGCGCCGGCUCUACCGCGGCCUUCUGGAUCUCCGCCUCUGCUCCGCCUUGGCCCUCCUGAUCCUCCCUGUCACCCUGGCUCAUUUGCUCUCCAUUGCCGCCUCGGCUUCCACCAACUGCUCUGCCACCAUCGGUUGGACGCGUAGAGCCAUCAGCCCUUCCUCCACCAUGGCUCCUCCCUCCGUCGGCUCCACUGUGAGUUGCCAUCAUGGCUGUGAUCUGGGUUCUGCUUGGCUCCUCCAGCUCCCUCCUGUCUUCUCCCUGGCUCCUCCCUCCAUCUGGUCCGCCCUGGCCCUUCCUUUCUUCUCACUGGAUCCUCCCUCCAUCAUCACCACCCUCGACUCUGUUGGUCACCCUCCUCCCAGUCAUCCGGCCACCUCCUGAACCUCCUACUGCCUGCCUUCCUGCUGGCCCUUUGCCAUCCAGUCACCAUUCCACAUCCACUCCUUUUUCCUCCUCCUAAAGGCUGAUUUAUACUUCUGCAUCAGAC
ensembl:lncRNA